rnacentral:rRNA from 1 species
UGGUGGAGUGAUUUGUCUGGUUAAUUCCGUUAACGAACGAGACCUCGACCUGCUAAAUAGUUCGAUCAAUUCUUCGGGAUUGGUACGUUUGACUUCUUAGAGGGACUAUCGGUGGUUCAGCCGAAGGAAGUUCGAGGCAAUAACA